AUUACUAAGCGGAGGAAAAGAAACUAACUAGGAUUCCCUCAGUAGCUGCGAGCGAACAGGGAAGAGCCCAGCACCGAAUCCCGCGGCCGAUACCGGGCGCCGGGAAAUGUGGUGUUAGGGAGGAUCCGUUUAUCCCGAGGUCGUGCGGUGCGUCCAAGUCCUUCUUGAACGGGGCCACAGCCCAUAGAGGGUGCCAGGCCCGUAGCGACCGCUGCCGAUCGCGGGAGGAUCUCUCCUCAGAGUCGGGUUGCUUGAGAGUGCAGCCCUAAGUGGGUGGUAAACUCCAUCUAAGGCUAAAUAUGACCACGAGACCGAUAGCGAACAAGUACCGUGAGGGAAAGUUGAAAAGCACUUUGAAGAGAGAGUUCAAGAGUACGUGAAACCGUUCAGGGGUAAACCUGAGAAACCCGAAAGGUCGAAAGGGGAAAUUCAUUCGCGUCUCGACCGUCGGAGCGGAGCGUUCGUGCGACGGACGGCGUACGCGUCGUCCGCGCCUUUCGUUCCGCGAUCCGGCGUCGAACGCGUGCACUUUUCCCCUAGUAGGACGUCGCGAUCCGUUGGGUGUCGGUCUAAGGCUCGCGGUGGAGCCCGAGCGUGCGUCUUCGGACGUUCGCGCUCGGACCCGCGGUGUCCCGGCCGACCCGCUCGACGGUAUACAGAUGGCGCGGGGCCGCAAAUUCAAUUUGCGUUCGGCCCGCGGCAAGCGCGUACGGUGUUGACGGCGAUCGGACCCGGUGCCGAUCCCGUCCCCGGACGACUGUUGGCCGCGGUGCUCUCGAACAG
rnacentral:rRNA from 1 species